GGCGAACGCUGGCGGCAGGCUUAACACAUGCAAGUCGAGCGGGCACUUCGGUGCCAGCGGCAGACGGGUGAGUAACACGUGGGAACGUACCCUUCGGUUCGGAAUAACGCUGGGAAACUAGCGCUAAUACCGGAUACGCCCUUUUGGGGAAAGGUUUACUGCCGAAGGAUCGGCCCGCGUCUGAUUAGCUAGUUGGUGGGGUAAUGGCCUACCAAGGCGACGAUCAGUAGCUGGUCUGAGAGGAUGAUCAGCCACACUGGGACUGAGACACGGCCCAGACUCCUACGGGAGGCAGCAGUGGGGAAUAUUGGACAAUGGGCGCAAGCCUGAUCCAGCCAUGCCGCGUGAGUGAUGAAGGCCUUAGGGUUGUAAAGCUCUUUUGUCCGGGACGAUAAUGACGGUACCGGAAGAAUAAGCCCCGGCUAACUUCGUG
rnacentral:rRNA from 1 species